CCUACGGGAGGCAGCAGUAAGGAAUAUUGGUCAAUGGACGCAAGUCUGAACCAGCCAUGCCGCGUGAAGGAUUAAGGCCCUCUGGGUUGUAAACUUCUUUUAUAGGGGACGAAAAAAGGGCAUUCUUGCUCACUUGACGGUACCCUAGGAAUAAGCACCGGCUAACUCCGUGCCAGCAGCCGCGGUAAUACGGAGGGUGCAAGCGUUAUCCGGAUUUACUGGGUUUAAAGGGUGCGUAGGUGGGUUGGUAAGUCAGUGGUGAAAUCUUCGAGCUUAACUCGGAAACUGCCAUUGAUACUAUCAAUCUUGAAUCAUCUAGAGGUAAGCGGAAUAUGUCAUGUAGCGGUGAAAUGCUUAGAUAUGACAUAGAACACCAAUUGCGAAGGCAGCUUACUAUGGAUGUAUUGACACUGAGGCACGAAAGCGUGGGGAUCAAACAGGAUUAGAUACCCUGGUAGUCCACGCCCUAAACGAUGGAUACUCGACAUUUGUGAUAUACUAUAAGUGUCUGAGCGAAAGCAUUAAGUAUCCACCUGGAAGUACGACCGCAAGGUUGAAACUCAAAGGAAUUGACGGCNGAGACGNGACGACGACGACGACGAGGGAGGAGG
rnacentral:rRNA from 1 species